GUAUUGUAAACGCUCUUUACAACUAAUAAGUCAUAGAUAAGAGGGAAAACAUUUUCACUCUUGAGCAUCCUCGGAAGACGGUUAGAUUUUGGAGUUUUCACAACAAGAGCAAACUUAAGGCAACUUUCUUCUUGAAAAUGUUGGAGACUGAGACGCAGAUGUUAACAGACAACUCUGCAUGGAAUUGGAGGAUAAGAGUAUAUAACUGAAUGCAUUCUGUCUGGAUUUCUGUAUUGUAACAGAAGGCUUUGAUAAUCAAGACAAUCAAGAAUUGGAGUGGCUAAGAAUCAGAUGGAGACCAAAUGUCAGUUCACAUGGAAUACCAGGGUUUGCAAAGGAGGACAUUGGAACUGGCUUAAGUAUUCAAAUUUCUGAUGGCAGUUGAUGACAGAAGAUGUCAUACUUAGG